UGCUGGAGGUAUCAGAAGUGCGAAUGCUGACAUAAGUAACGAUAAAGCGGGUGAAAAGCCCGCUCGCCGGAAGACCAAGGGUUCCUGUCCAACGUUAAUCGGGGCAGGGUGAGUCGACCCCUAAGGCGAGGCCGAAAGGCGUAGUCGAUGGGAAACGGGUUAAUAUUCCCGUACUUGGUGUUACUGCGAAGGGGGGACGGAGAAGGCUAUGUUGGCCGGGCGACGGUUGUCCCGGUUUAAGCGUGUAGGUGUGUGUUCCAGGUAAAUCCGGUUCACUUUAACACUGAGGCGUGAUGACGAGGCACUACGGUGCUGAAGCAACAAAUGCCCUGCUUCCAGGAAAAGCCUCUAAGCAUCAGGUAACAUCAAAUCGUACCCCAAACCGACACAGGUGGUCAGGUAGAGAAUACCAAGGCGCUUGAGAGAACUCGGGUGAAGGAACUAGGCAAAAUGGUGCCGUAACUUCGGGAGAAGGCACGCUGACACGUAGGUGAAGUGAUUUACUCACGGAGCUGAAGUCAGUCGAAG
rnacentral:rRNA from 1 species